UUGUAGCCUGAGGUUGAUUCAUUCUUUCUCUAGUUUUACCUGGAGGAGGACUGGCUUUUCCUUUGUUGACUGUGUUUUAUCUUCUCCAUCCUACCUGCUUCCCUGUUAUCUGACUGAAACAUCUACUGAGCUUUCUGUGUGAUCCUAAAGCUAUAGAUCAAGGAGGCCUGGCAUUAUGUGAUGGUGCUUCUCAUCUUCCCAAAGAAGGCAGGAAUAAUACUUAUUGUAAUAUCCUCCAUGAAAGAAAGAAAACCUAUUGCAAUGAAAUAUUGUGGUUCUCCUCUCACCCCAAAGACAUUCACCCAAGAAAGAAAGGCACCUCUGUAGGAGACCUGGCUGGAUGGUAUGGCAUUUCUCAUCUUUGAUACCAACCCAAGGGACUUGGCAUGAUGAAAGUGACAUUUAAGUUUAGUGUAUUCUCAUCUUAGCUAGGAAUCUUGCCCAGGUCACUCUGUAAAUCCUAGAGAGGGACCCACCUAAUAUGGUGGGACUUUUGUUUCAGUUCUCUUGACACUGAAUAAAUACAAGUAGAGCUCAAAA